rnacentral:lncRNA from 1 species
GGGUGAGGGAUCACAAGAGUUUCAUAAAUUCCAGGAUAUUCAGGCAGAAGAUGGACUGGAACCCACUUCACAGAGAAGCCAGAAGUCAGCAGGAUGCAACUUUUCUUCCUCAAUACUCUGUGUGUGUGUGACUUUUGGUUCAUAUUCAUCUUCUCCAAGAAUAGGGAUCAUAUCCAUUAUCACACACUUCUCAUGAGCAACUUGUGCUUAGCAUCUAGCUUGUAUUUAAGAUCCAUUUGAAGAAA